ACAAGUCUCAAACAGAAGGACGAAAAGGUGCAAUGAAAGAAAACAAGUUUAAGAUAGAGAAGAGCAUUCAAACACUGCAACCUGAGACUCUCAAAAUUAUCGUCACUGAAAUUCAUUCAGAUUCCAAGGACAAGAAUGGAAAAGAAGAAAAAAAAAAAAAAGACUCCAGCAGCUCAAAUAUUUUAGAUCUUCUUUGCAAUAUAUUUAAAUUUUCAAUUUUGCACAAAAUUACAUAAGAACUAAAAACUGGGGCAUGCUGGAGGUGGCAGUGACUUGGCAGUGACACAAAUGCAAAAAUUUCACUCCACCCUCUCCCCCAGGGAGCAAGCAAAUCACCUAUGUGACACACCUGGUCUCCACCAGCCUUGUGGGUAAGUACCCCAAGAUUGCUUCCAAACUUGUAUCUCCCAGACAGAAGAGCUAAAAACUGAUGAUAACCCCAUGUACCAGCUGACUCAUUUUUGAAAGUGCGACCCUCCAGCAUCAGAUGUCAUACUGUAAGGAGGCAGAGCUGGCUUGCAAAACAAAAAAUAAACCUGCUGGCACUGAGGGAAGAGAGGCAAAUUAGAAGUUUUCAAACAUGUAGGCAGCAAAACUUUCAAAAUUAACAGGGAAAGAGAAGAGAGGGAAAAAAAAUGAGGACAUGAUGAUAGGAAAAUAAAAAUAUUACUGCAAAAAAGAAAGACACAAGAAGGAAAACAAAUCUAAGUCUUAGAAGUACAACAUAUAACUGUUACAAAGUUUUCAGAUCCUGAAACAGGAUAAAGUUUAAAUAUAUUAUCAAAUGAUAACUACAUCUAUUUUCCCAAUUUCUGUUCUGUAAGCAAGAAAAUAUGUGAAUUUUGGCCUGAAAAUGUCACCAAACUGUAACAUACUAAUUAUUACUUUUUACAUAUAUUAAAGUAGGCUAUUAAAAACCAUUGAUAAGACCAAUAAUUUAAACCAAUCCAGUAUACAAGAAGGACAAGGAUUCAAAGAUUAUUACCUUAAAACAAAUCUGUCCUGGGACUAUUAAACAUAGCAAAAUUGUUCUAUUCAAAUUGGAAAUUGUUUUUUAAUAAAGAGAAAAAUGAAUAUA